AAUAGAUCAUCCAUGAUAGAGGGAUUCUACAGGCCACUGCCACCAACCACUCACAUCAGGGAAGAGAAGGGAGGAAAAUUCUCCUUCAAUGAAAGAGAGUGCAUUUUGCCAGUAAUGCAUCCAUGCUGCGACUGCUGCUCUGGGCAAACAACCUUUUCUGCAGGAAAGCAAGUAAUUCUGAUUGGAAUGAAUGGUCGAUACAAUGUGUCCCUCCCAACUGUCAGCUGCUCCUGUGGGAAAGCUUUGGAUGUCGGUAUUAGUGAGCUGAUUGAAAGUGGCUACUGGCCAGCUACAGUCAAUUUUGAGACGAUGUACACAGUGGAUUUGUUCGCGACAUACGAAGAUCUCAAGAUUACUGCACCAGGAAUGUCAUGACAAGCUU